GAGGGUAUAGCUCAGUGGUAGAGCACAUGUUUAGCAUGGGAUCCUGGGUUCAAUCCCCAGUACCUCCA
rnacentral:tRNA from 1 species